GCAAGGCUGUGCUGUCUCCGGCGGGGCCAAGGGAGUGAAUGGGCAGGUUUUUAUACCUGCCUCUCCUCAAUUAGGGGAAAGGGAGGAGAUCUCCCUCACCAGGUGAGUGAAACGCGCCCGCCUUCGGACGAAUGAGAGGGAAAGCGAUAACAAAUCCCUAAUUUGCUCGAGGGAGGGAAAGGAUCCUUCGGUCCGCCUGCCCUUUAAUGGCGGAGGGAGUACCGGUCCAUCUCACAGCUGAAGGAUAGGCGUCUUGCCUGCCUGCCUCCGCCUCCUCCUGGCUCGCCGACCCCUCCAAUCUGCAGUCGGCGAGUCGGUCUCCCUGGCUGAGGCGGUAACCACCGCCGCCACCUCCCCUGUCGCGCAGCCCGACUAGCUGUUGACUGACAGUUGGGCCGGGCGAUCCAAAUGGAGAAGGAGAAUGGGGUCCUGGCGCGCUACAGGGUGGUCCACAUCAAACGCCGUCUGCCGGGUAGUUAGUCAAUCGCCCUUCCAUUCAGGCAACAAGGACACCCUUGCCGGUCUGCGGAGGACCAGCCUCCUUGCGUUGGAUCACGGGAAUUGUAGUUCUAAGUCUGAUCGGCGCGAUAACGAAUAGGGCAAGGGCAAUAAUUGAUGGGAGUUGUAGUUUCAGGCAGACCGUGUUUCUCUUCCACCCACUCUCUGGGGGAUAAAAUGGCGUUUGAUACAAUGAUGUGAUGAGCCGUGGACCUUUAAUAACUACUAGGGGGGAUGUUUGGACAAAAGUCCUGGAUUGUCGUCACACGUUUUUAUUUUAAUAUGUAUUAACGUUAUACGUUUAUUGUUUCCCCUCUCAACGUCUUCGUUGCUUUCUAGUUCUAUUUUUCGGUCUUGCCGUUUUAUCGUUACCGUAUUUGGUUCCUUUGAAGAAGAAGCAGGAUUAAAAAGAUGGAUCAUUGAAUAAAGCAAUCCAAAGUUUUCUACCCGAGGCAAUUCAGCAAACAGGUCAAACAAUGGAUAAUAAAGAAGAACAUACUUGUCAACUGC